rnacentral:piRNA from 1 species
AGAGUGCAUAAAAGAGUGUUGUCCAAGU